rnacentral:lncRNA from 1 species
UGAUGGAUAAUGAUUUAAAUGACAUCGAUCAUGUAAGAGUUACACACUGGAGCGAUACAGAACUAGCUCCAAUUCAGCAAUGUAAUGCAGGCAUGUAUUCCGUAUAUAGUCAUACAUGCUUGUGAUAAGAACUUGUAUAACAUAUUUUGUCCUACCCUCCCAUGGCAGCGGGGUCCAUAAGGAAACUAAGGGCUAUUAAGGCCUCCUUUUAAUAGAGAACGGACACAAAACAUUAACAC